rnacentral:rRNA from 1 species
UGGGGAAUUUUGGACAAUGGGGGCAACCCUGAUCCAGCCAUUCCGCGUGAGUGAAGAAGGCCUUCGGGUUGUAAAGCUCUUUUGUCCGGAACGAAACGGUUAGCGUGAAUAUCGCUGACUACUGACGGUACCGGAAGAAUAAGCACCGGCUAACUACGUGCCAGCAGCCGCGGUAAUACGUAGGGUGCGAGCGUUAAUCGGAAUUACUGGGCGUAAAGCGUGCGCAGGCGGUUUUGUAAGCCAGAUGUGAAAGCCCCGGGCUUAACCUGGGAAUGGCAUUUGGGACUGCAAGGCUUGAGUGCGGCAGAGGAGACUGGAAUUCCUGGUGUAGCAGUGAAAUGCGUAGAUAUCAGGAGGAAUACCGAUGGCGAAGGCAGGUCUCUGGGCUGACACUGACGCUCAUGCACGAAAGCGUGGGGAGCAAACAGGAUUAGAUACCCCGGUAGUCC